CAUGCAAGUUCGAGCGGACAGAUGGAGAGCUUGCUCCCUGAUGUUAGCGGCGGACGGGUGAGUAACACGUGGGUAACCUGCCUGUAAGACUGGGAUAACUCCGGGAAACCGGGGCUAAUACCGGAUGGUUGUUUGAACCGCAUGGUUCAAACAUAAAAGGUGGCUUCGGCUACCACUUACAGAUGGACCCGCGGCGCAUUAGCUAGUUGGUGAGGUAACGGCUCACCAAGGCAACGAUGCGUAGCCGACCUGAGAGGGUGAUCGGCCACACUGGGACUGAGACACGGCCCAGACUCCUACGGGAGGCAGCAGUAGGGAAUCUUCCGCAAUGGACGAAAGUCUGACGGAGCAACGCCGCGUGAGUGAUGAAGGUUUUCGGAUCGUAAAGCUCUGUUGUUAGGGAAGAACAAGUACCGUUCGAAUAGGGCGGUACCUUGACGGUACCUAACCAGAAAGCCACGGCUAACUACGUGCCAGCAGCCGCGGUAAUACGUAGGUGGCAAGCGUUGUCCGGAAUUAUUGGGCGUAAAGGGCUCGCAGGCGGUUUCUUAAGUCUGAUGUGAAAGCCCCCGGCUCAACCGGGGAGGGUCAUUGGAAACUGGGGAACUUGAGUGCAGAAGAGGAGAGUGGAAUUCCACGUGUAGCGGUGAAAUGCGUAGAGAUGUGGAGGAACACCAGUGGCGAAGGCGACUCUCUGGUCUGUAACUGACGCUGAGGAGCGAAAGCGUGGGGAGCGAACAGGAUUAGAUACCCUGGUAGUCCACGCCGUAAACGAUGAGUGCUAAGUGUUAGGGGGUUUCCGCCCCUUAGUGCUGCAGCUAACGCAUUAAGCACUCCGCCUGGGGAGUACGGUCGCAAGAA
rnacentral:rRNA from 1 species